GGUUCAACUGUCAUAGAGGUUCAACUGUCAUAGAGGUUCAACUACCAUAGAGGUUCAACUGUCAUAGAGGUUCAACUGUCAUAGAGGUUCAACUGUCAUAGAGGUUCAACUGUCAUAGAGGUUCAACUGUCAUAGAGGUUCAACUGUCAUAGAGGUUCAACUACCAUAGAGGUUCAACUUCCAUAGAGGUUCAACUACCAUAGAGGUUCAACUGUCAUAGAGGUUCAACUACCAUAGAGGUUCAACUACCAUAGAGGUUCAACUGUCAUAGAGGUUCAACUACCAUAGAGGUUCAACUGUCAUAGAGGUUCAACUGUCAUAGAGGUUCAACUGUCAUAGAGGUUCAACUGUCAUAGAGGUUCAACUGUCAUAGAGGUUCAACUGUCAUAGAGGUUCAACUGUCAUAGAGGUUCAACUGUCAUAGAGGUUCAACUGUCAUAGAGGUUCAACUGUCAUAGAGGUUCAACUGUCAUAGAGGUUCA